rnacentral:rRNA from 1 species
AUUGAACGCUGGCGGCAUGCCUAACACAUGCAAGUCGAACGGGGCAGCAAUGCCUAGUGGCGGACGGGUGAGGAAUACGUAGGAAUCUGCCCUUAAGUGGGGGAUAACCAGGGGAAACCCUGACUAAUACCGCAUGAUCUCUUCGGAGCAAAGAGGGGGACCGCAAGGCCUCUCGCUUCUGGAUGAGCCUACGUCUGAUUAGCUAGUUGGGAGGGUGAAGGCCUACCAAGGCGACGAUCAGUAGCUGGUCUGAGAGGAUGAUCAGUCACACCGGAACUGAGACACGGUCCGGACUCCUACGGGAGGCAGAAGUGGGAAAUAUUGGACAAUGGGCGCAAGCCUGAUCCAGCAAUGCCGCGUGUGUGAAGAAGGCCUUCGGGUUGUAAAGCACUUUAGCCUGGAAAGAAAAAACUUUGGUUAACACCCAAAGUCUUGACGGUACCAGGAGAAUAAGCACCGGCUAACUCUGUGCCAGCCGCCGCCGUAAGAC